GGCGAACGGGUGAGUAGAACAUCGGAACGUAUCCUCAAGUGGGGGAUAGCCCGGCGAAAGCCGGAUUAAUACCGCAUGAACUCUGAGGAGCAAAGCGGGGGACUUUCGGGCCUCGCGCUGGAGGAGCGGCCGAUGCCGGAUUAGCUUGUUGGUGGGGUAAGAGCCUACCAAGGCGACGAUCCGUAGCUGGUCUGAGAGGAUGAUCAGCCACACUGGAACUGAGACACGGUCCAGACUCCUACGGGAGGCAGCAGUGGGGAAUUUUGGACAAUGGGGGCAACCCUGAUCCAGCCAUGCCGCGUGCGGGAAGAAGGCCUUCGGGUUGUAAACCGCUUUCAUACGGGACGAAAUGGUGCAGGUUAAUACCCUGUAUUGAUGACGGUACCGUAAGAAGAAGCACCGGCUAACUACGUGCCAGCAGCCGCGGUAAUACGUAGGGUGCGAGCGUUAAUCGGAAUUACUGGGCGUAAAGCGUGCGCAGGCGGCUCUUUAAGACAGGUGUGAAAUCCCCGGGCUUAACCUGGGAAUUGCGCUUGUGACUGGGGAGCUCGAGUGCGGCAGAGGGGGAUGGAAUUCC
rnacentral:rRNA from 1 species